UAGGGAAUCUUCGGCAAUGGGCGAAAGCCUGACCGAGCAACGCCGCGUGAGCGAUGAAGGCCUUCGGGUCGUAAAGCUCUGUUGUUAAGGAAGAACAAGUACGAGAGUAACUGCUCGUACCUUGACGGUACUUAACGAGAAAGCCACGGCUAACUACGUGCCAGCAGCCGCGGUAAUACGUAGGUGGCGAGCGUUAUCCGGAAUUAUUGGGCGUAAAGCGCGCGCAGGCGGUUUCUUAAGUCUGAUGUGAAAGCCCACGGCUCAACCGUGGAGGGUCAUUGGAAACUGGGAAACUUGAGUGCAGAAGAGGAAAGCGGAAUUCCACGUGUAGCGGUGAAAUGCGUAGAGAUGUGGAGGAACACCAGUGGCGAAGGCGGCUUUCUGGUCUGUAACUGACGCUGAGGCGCGAAAGCGUGGGGAGCAAACAGGAUUAGAUACCCUGGUAGUCCACGCCGUAAACGAUGAGUGCUAAGUGUUAGAGGGUUUCCGCCCUUUAGUGCUGAAGUUAACG
rnacentral:rRNA from 1 species